AGAGUUUGAUCCUGGCUCAGGAUGAACGCUGGCGGUCUGCUUAACACAUGCAAGUCGAACGGAAUCUUUCGGGAUUUAGUGGCGGACGGGUGAGUAACGCGUGAGAAUCUGCCUUCAGGUUCGGGACAACAGCUGGAAACGGCUGCUAAUACCGGAUGUGCCGAGAGGUGAAAGCUUUAGUGCCUGGAGAUGAGCUCGCGUCUGAUUAGCUAGUAGGAGUGGUAACGGCACCCCUAGGCGACGAUCAGUAGCUGGUCUGAGAGGAUGAUCAGCCACACUGGGACUGAGACACGGCCCAGACUCCUACGGGAGGCAGCAGUGGGGAAUUUUCCGCAAUGGGCGCAAGCCUGACGGAGCAAGACCGCGUGAGGGAAGAAGGUCCGUGGAUUGUAAACCUCUUUUGAUAGGGAAGAAGAUAGUGACGGUACCUAUCGAAUCAGCCUCGGCUAACUCCGUGCCAGCAGCCGCGGUAAUACGGAGGAGGCAAACGUUAUCCGGAAUUAUUGGGCGUAAAGAGUCCGUAGGUGGGUGACCAAGUCAGUUGUUAAAUAGUGAAGCUUAACUUCAUAGAGGCGACUGAAACUGGUCAUCUAGAGUGUGGUAGGGGUAGAGGGAAUUUCCAGUGUAGCGGUGAAAUGCGUAGAUAUUGGAAAGAACACCGGUGGCGAAAGCGCUCUACUGGGCCUGCACUGACACUGAGGGACGAAAGCUAGGGGAGCGAAAGGGAUUAGAUACCCCUGUAGUC
rnacentral:rRNA from 1 species